GACGAACGCUGGCGGCGUGCUUAACACAUGCAAGUCGAGCGGUAAGGCCCUUUCGGGGGGUACACGAGCGGCGAACGGGUGAGUAACACGUGGGUGACCUGCCCUCAGCUCUGGGAUAAGCCUGGGAAACCGGGUCUAAUACUGGAUAUGACUCCAUGACGCAUGUUGUGGGGUGGAAAGCCUUGUGCGGCUGAGGAUGGGCCCGCGGCCUAUCAGCUUGUUGGUGGGGUGANGGCCUACCAAGGCGACGACGGGUAGCCGGCCUGAGAGGGCGACCGGCCACACUGGGACUGAGACACGGCCCAGACUCCUACGGGAGGCAGCAGUGGGGAAUCUUGCGCAAUGGGCGAAAGCCUGACGCAGCGACGCCGCGUGAGGGAUGACGGCCUCGG
rnacentral:rRNA from 1 species